rnacentral:rRNA from 1 species
UGCAGUCGAACGAUGCUUUCGGGCAUAGUGGCGCACGGGUGCGUAACGCGUGGGAAUCUGCCCUUGGGUUCGGAAUAACAGUUGGAAACGACUGCUAAUACCGGAUGAUGUCGAUAAGACCAAAGAUUUAUCGCCCGAGGAUGAGCCCGCGUCGGAUUAGCUAGUUGGUGGGGUAAAGGCCUACCAAGGCGACGAUCCGUAGCUGGUCUGAGAGGAUGAUCAGCCACACUGGGACUGAGACACGGCCCAGACUCCUACGGGAGGCAGCAGUGGGGAAUAUUGGACAAUGGGCGCAAGCCUGAUCCAGCAAUGCCGCGUGAGUGAUGAAGGCCUUAGGGUUGUAAAGCUCUUUUACCCGGGAAGAUAAUGACUGUACCGGGAGAAUAAGCCCCGGCUAACUCCGUGCCAGCAGCCGCGGUAAUACGGAGGGGGCUAGCGUUGUUCGGAAUUACUGGGCGUAAAGCCCACGUAGGCGGCUUUGUAAGUCAGGGGUGAAAGCCUGGAGCUCAACUCCAGAACUGCCUUUGAGACUGCAUCGCUUGAAUCCGGGAGAGGUGAGUGGAAUUCCGAGUGUAGAGGUGAAAUUCGUAGAUAUUCGGAAGAACACCAGUGGCGAAGGCGGCUCACUGGACCGGUAUUGACGCUGAGGU